rnacentral:rRNA from 1 species
AUUGAACGCUGGCGGCAUGCCUUACACAUGCAAGUCGAACGGCAGCACGGGAGCUUGCUCCUGGUGGCGAGUGGCGAACGGGUGAGUAAUACAUCGGAACGUACCCUGAAGUGGGGGAUAACGUAGCGAAAGUUACGCUAAUACCGCAUAUUCUGUGAGCAGGAAAGAGGGGGAUCGCAAGACCUCUUGCUUUAGGAGCGGCCGAUGUCGGAUUAGCUAGUUGGUGAGGUAAAGGCUCACCAAGGCGACGAUCCGUAGCGGGUCUGAGAGGAUGAUCGCCAUACUGGGACUGAGACACGGCCCAGACUCCUACGGGAGGCAGCAGUGGGGAAUUUUGGACAAUGGGCGCAAGCCUGAUCCAGCCAUGCCGCGUGAGUGAAGAAGGCC